rnacentral:rRNA from 1 species
ACCCCGCACAAGCGUGGAUCAUGUUGUUUAAUUCGAUGAUACGCGAAGAACCUUACCAGGUCUUGACAUCCCAUGCAAAGCUAUAGAGAUAUAGUGGAGGUUACCAUGGAGACAGGUGGUGCAUGGUUGUCGUCAGCUCGUGUCGUGAGAUGUUGGGUUAAGUCCCGCAACGAGCGCAACCCUUAUUGCUAGUUACCAUCAUUAAGUUGGGGACUCUAGCGAGACUGCCAGUGAUAAACUGGAGGAAGUGGGGAUGACGUCAAAUCAUCAUGCCCCUUAUGACCUGGGCUACAAACGUGAUACAAUGGCUGAAACAAAGGGCAGCGAAGCAGUGAUGUGAAGCGAAACCCAAAAAAGCAGUCUCAGUUCGGAUUGAAGUCUGCAACUCGACUUCAUGAAGUCGGAAUCGCUAGUAAUCGCGAAUCAGAACGUCGCGGUGAAUACGUUCUCGGGGUUU